ACACCCACAACAACCGCCACUUUAUCUCUUCCCCUCUCCCUCUCUUCAUCUCUCGUUCUCUUCGUCUCUCUAACUCUAUCGCCAAAAAAAAAAAAAAAAAAAAAACAGAAAAGUCUCCGGCGACGAACGGAGAACAAGUCGAAGAAGAGAAUCGACUCGCCUGCUCAUAUUCUUGCUUCGCUAGGAACAAAUCGGUGUUUUUUUUGUGCUGAAGGUUAUGGAUAAGGCUUCGCUUAUCCAUAAAACUCUUUCUCGGUAGAUCUGGCCCUGACGAAGAAGAUGCACAACAGAUGAGGUUGAUGACGGGCGGCAGAGGCUUGGGAAGGGAUUGUUGUUUUUGCCACUUCUAUACAGUAAGAAAUGACGGGGAGAAGUGUUUUACUACAUGUUAAUAUAGUCAUAUAUGGUAACAUGACUAUAUGUUACUAUAGUCAUAUAUAGUAACAUUACUACAUAUAUGGUAACCUGACUAUAUGUUACUAUAGUCAUAUAUAGUAACAUAUAGUAACAUGACUACAUGUUACUAUAGUCAUAUAUAGUAACAUAUAGUAACAUGUAGUCAUGUCUGGGUUAUGUGUGUUUUUAAUAUUGAGUGAUGAUGAUGAUUUUGUUCUUUAUUGAAGAACAUAUGCAUGUGAUUGUGUAUUUCGAUCUAUAUUUGUACAAUUUGAUAUAUAAUAUCAAUAUUUAUUUCGAUCUA